UGGAGGAUGUCUCCAACUGGGAUCGGGUUUCUUCUCAUCUUGCUUUCAUACCAAGCUGAGAGUGUGACAUUUCAGCCGUCUCGUCCAAGAAUAGUCAACGAAAGAUCCAGGGUGGAGUUUAAAUGCAGUCACAAUGAUGGCGCUCUUAAUGUGAUGCUCUGGUACCAGCAAACAGAGAGCGGUCUGAUUCAUUUAAUUGGAUAUAGCUACAGUGGCAGUGACCCCAACUAUGAGCAGCAGUUUAAAGAUCGGUUUAACAUUACACGAGAGGCCAUCCAAAGAGGAGCUCUGAUCAUUGACAGUGUCAAUCUAUCAGACUCGGCUGUGUAUUUCUGCGCUGCCAGUACACAGUGAUGUGGUUUAAUGCCACCCCCUCACUAAAACCCUGUUCUUUUUUUUCCCGUUGUUUUCAUGUUCAAAGAUC